GAAAUGCGAUAAGUAGUGUGAAUUGCAGAAUUCAGUGAAUCAUCGAAUCUUUGAACGCACAUUGCACCCCUUGGUAUUCCAUGGGGCAUGCCUGUUCGAGCGUCAUUUGUACCCUCAAGCUCUGCUUGGUGUUGGGUGUUUGUCCCCGUCUCCGCGCGUGGACUCGCCCCAAAGUGAUUGGCAGCCGGCGUACUGGUCCCGGAGCGCAGCACAUGUCGCGCAAACGAGUGCCUUGGUACGGCGGCGUCCAUAAGCCCCUCUCUCACGCUCUUGACCUCGGAUCAGGUAGGGAUACCCGCUGAACUUAAGC
rnacentral:misc_RNA from 1 species